rnacentral:lncRNA from 1 species
UUGUUUUGUUAUGGAUUGUCUUUGAAAUGAUCUGAGCUAAGUUCGGGAGAAAUCUUUAGCACCGAGUGGGAGGUAUAAAGUGACCUUACUUCCCUAGAACUACGUGCCCCCGUAGGAGUGAGCCUGAGGCUGAUUUAUAUAGUGAUCACUAGUUUGUGUGGAUUUGAUAUCGAUAGUCCUACUCCGAUGGCAAGGAUAGGACGGCUCUCCCCAACGUGGGUUGUACGUUGGACUCCAUGUAGCUCACAUGGUUUAUGUCAGUUAUAGGAUCUCCCAGUGGGUGUGUGUUUUCUUGUGUCUAUGGUGAAUGGUGAAGUGAUUUGAAAGUGGAAUUGUGAAGGUUAUUCUUUCGAAAGAUUUAAAUGAUAUUUACAUUAUGCGAAUUGAUAUUCUUGAUGAACUGAAAGUGAUUGACAA